rnacentral:rRNA from 1 species
UACGUAGGGGGCAAGCGUUGUCCGGAAUCAUUGGGCGUAAAGAGCGUGUAGGCGGCCCGGUAAGUCCGCUGUGAAAGUCCAGGGCUCAACCCUGGGAUGCCGGUGGAUACUGUCGGGCUCGAGUCCGGAAGAGGCGAGUGGAAUUCCUGGUGUAGCGGUGAAAUGCGCAGAUAUCAGGAGGAACACCAAUGGCGAAGGCAGCUCGCUGGGACGUUACUGACACUGAGGCGCGAAAGCGUGGGGAGCGAACAGG